UGCCCACCCUCAGGGCUAGAUGCAGAUACAGGAUGAGGACUCUCCCCCCCCCAAAAAAAAUGGCAUCAUGGAAGGGACCGCAGAGCCACAGUUGUCUCUUCAGGCUCCUGGGAAUCUCCUGGCCUAGAAGAGGGACAAGGAUCAACAUUUAAAUACCCAGCUCCCAUAGAAACCUCGUCCCAUCCAGGAAACCAAGGAAAUCAAUCUAGCCCACUUCAGACUCAUCUUGCCUGACUCGGUGCAUACCUUCAAACGUGCUCUGGAGCUGCUGGCGUCUUCGGUAUAGGUAACAACACGAACAGAGGAAGCAGCAGAUGGUGGUGGCCACCACAGCAACAAAGAGGAUCACAGCAGAGGCGAUGCCUGCUAUUGUCUUGGGACUUUAGACAAAAAACAGGUCCUCUCACCUUCCAACACUCAUAGAGGGACUCCUCUCUGUGCUGGCUCCAACUCUUGGCCAGCAGGGAGCCACAGCAUGUUAAAUCUUGGGGUUCCCUGUGGGAUUAAUUCUGCCCACCCUGUUGAGUAGCUCUAAGAGACCUCUACUUCCCAGGCGGCUAUGCUGUCUGGGUAUUUAGUAAGAGGCAUGCUGGGAUUUGUAGUGUGCCCACCUACCCCUGCUUUUGUAUCUACCACUUAAUUGAUUAGGUUUAAAGUAUGUUGGCCUCAGUGGAGCCUUUGAAAUAAUGUAGGGCCAGUACCAUCAAAUCUUACAAGAACUUGAAAUCUCCUUAUAUUAGUUUUAUAUAUUUGCAGCUCCCUUUAAAAAGUUUGAAACCACUAAUUUGGGGGCUAGGAUUGUAGCUCAAUAGUAGCAUGUUGGCAUAUUUGAGGACCUACCCUCAGCCCUGGGCUGGAUGGGGAAAAGAUUAGCAAAACCUUUAAUUUUGGCAA